rnacentral:rRNA from 1 species
UGGUGAUGGGGAGCGAAAAUUAUAUAGUAGCGAAGGUCAUGAUCUCAGACUGCCAAGAAAAGCCUCUAGCCAGGAGAAGGUGCCCGUACCGCAAACCGACACAGGUAGGCGAGAAGAGAAUUCUAAGGCGCGCGGAAGAACUCUCGUUAAGGAACUCGGCAAAAUGACCCCGUAACUUCGGGAGAAGGGGUGCCUCGGUAGGGUGAAUAGCCCGAGGGGGCCGCAGUGAAAAGGCCCAAGCGACUGUUUAGCAAAAACACAGGUCUGUGCGAAGCCGCAAGGCGAAGUAUACGGGCUGACGCCUGCCCGGUGCUGGAAGGUUAAGGGGAGUGGUAAGCCUUCGGGCGAAGCUAUGAACCGAAGCCCCAGUAAACGGCGGCCGUAACUAUAACGGUCCUAAGGUAGCGAAAUUCCUUGUCAGGUAAAUUCUGACCCGCACGAAUGGCGUAACGACUUGGGCGCUGUCUCAACGAGAGAUCCGGUGAAAUUUUAAUACCUGUGAAGAUGCAGGUUACCCGCGACAAGACGGAAAGACCCCAUGGAGCUUUACUGCAGCUUGAUAUUGAAUUUGGGUACGAUCUGUACAGGAUAGGUGGGAGCCGUUGAACCUUGAGCGCCAGCUUGAGGGGAGGCAUCCUUGGGAUACCACCCUGAUCGUAUCUAGGUUCUAACUUGGUACCGUAAUCCGGUACGAGGACAGUGUCAGGUGGGCAGUUUGACUGGGGCGGUCGCCUCCUAAAGAGUAACGGAGGCGCCCCAAGGUUCCCUCAGAAUGGUUGGAAAUCAUUCGAAGAGUGCAAAGGCAGAAGGGAGCUUGACUGCGAGACCUACAAGUCGAGCAGGGACGAAAGUCGGGCUUAGUGAUCCGGUGGUACCGCAUGGAAGGGCCAUCGCUCAACGGAUAAAAGCUACCCUGGGGAUAACAGGCUUAUCUCCCCCAAGAGUCCACAUCGACGGGGAGGUUUGGCACCUCGAUGUCGGCUCAUCGCAUCCUGGGGCUGAAGUAGGUCCCAAGGGUUGGGCUGUUCGCCCAUUAAGCGGUACGCGAGCUGGGUUCAGAACGUCGUGAGACAGUUCGGUCCCUAUCUGUCGUGGGCGUAGGAAAUUUGAGAGGAGCUGUCCUUAGUACGAGAGGACCGGGAUGGACGUACCGCUGGUGUACCAGUUGUUCCGCCAGGAGCACCGCUGGGUAGCUAUGUACGGAAGGGAUAAGCGCUGAAAGCAUCUAAGCGUGAAGCCCCCCUCAAGAUGAGAUUUCCCAAUUAGUAAGACCCCUUGAAGACGACGAGGUAGAUAGGUUGGGGGUGGAAGUGCAGUAAUGCAUGGAGCUGACCAAUACUAAUCGGUCGAGGGCUUAUCCUAAA